rnacentral:lncRNA from 10 species
CCAGCCAAGGCAGGUUCCAUGGUCAGCUGAGCCAUCGGGGGCAGAGAAGGAGGCAGGAGGCAGGUGGUUCGUUAUUUGCAGCUGUGGACUUUGCUUCUCACAAAUCCCAGCAGGAGGACUUCCCUACACUAGGCUCAGGACAGGCUGUCAUGGCAAGAGGGGCUGGAGGGACCCUGGGUCAAGUGAACAUUCUCCUUGCUACACUAGAGCUACAGAAUGGAGUUGGGACAAGCACAGACCCACAGAUCUGAGCUUGAACCCUGGCUCCACCGCCUCCUCAUUUACUUACUCUAUCUUUUAUUCAUUCAGCUGGCACCCAUUCAUUGAGCACUUGUGUGUACAGCCAUGUUCAGGGUGCUGGUGAUGCUGCUGAAAAUGGGACAGAUAAUGUUUCCUGUCCUCGUCGAUGUUCCAGGAGGCACAAUCUCUUGUUGGACAACCGUUUGUGAGAGGAUAUAACUGUGGAAGUGAUAAUUAAGUUCUAGAAUGAUAAGUGUGAUGCAGGGGCUGGGGUGGUGAGAGGUUGAAGAAAGCACUUCAG